rnacentral:rRNA from 1 species
GACGAACGCUGGCGGCGUGCUUAACACAUGCAAGUCGAACGGUGAAGCGCCUUCCUUUUUGGUGGGUGUGGAUGAGUGGCGAACGGGUGAGUAACACGUGAGUAACCUGCCCCCUUCUUCUGGAUAACCGCAUGAAAGUGUGGCUAAUACGGGAUAUUCUGGGUCUGUCGCAUGAUGGGUCUGGGAAAGAUAUUGUUUCGGUGGGGGAUGGGCUCGCGGCCUAUCAGCUUGUUGGUGGGGUGAUGGCCUACCAAGGCGGUGACGGGUAGCCGGCCUGAGAGGGUGGACGGUCACACUGGGACGGCGCCACGGCCCAGACUCCUACGGGAGGCAGCAGUGGGGAAUAUUGCACAAUGGGCGCAAGCCUGAUGCAGCGACGCCGCGUGAGGGAUGGAGGCCUUCGGGUUGUGAACCUCUUUCGCCAGUGAAGCAGGCCUGCCUCGUUUGUGGGUGGGUUGACGGUAGCUGGAUAAGAAGCGCCGGCUAACUACGUG